ACUCCUACGGGAGGCAGCAGUGGGGAAUUUUGGACAAUGGGCGAAAGCCUGAUCCAGCCAUGCCGCGUGCAGGAUGAAGGCCUUCGGGUUGUAAACUGCUUUUGUACGGAACGAAACGGCCUUUUCUAAUAAAGAGGGCUAAUGACGGUACCGUAAGAAUAAGCACCGGCUAACUACGUGCCAGCAGCCGCGGUAAUACGUAGGGUGCAAGCGUUAAUCGGAAUUACUGGGCGUAAAGCGUGCGCAGGCGGUUAUGUAAGACAGUUGUGAAAUCCCCGGGCUCAACCUGGGAACUGCAUCUGUGACUGCAUAGCUAGAGUACGGUAGAGGGGGAUGGAAUUCCGCGUGUAGCAGUGAAAUGCGUAGAUAUGCGGAGGAACACCGAUGGCGAAGGCAAUCCCCUGGACCUGUACUGACGCUCAUGCACGAAAGCGUGGGGAGCAAACAGGAUUAGAUACCCUGGUAGUCCCAUGA
rnacentral:rRNA from 1 species